UCCUUGCUUUCUAUUGUUGCUUUGCGUUUGCCGAUUGGCAGUUCUGUUCUUGUAGUGGUUUGUCGUUUCAGUUGAGCUUUCUAGAAUCCCAAUCAAUGUUUGUGUUUAAUUAAUGAACUUUAGCUUCAUUUUACAUAGCUAAUGAUCUAAACAACGCAAUAAUGGCGGAAAUAAGAUACACAAGAAAUCUCUUUUGAGAUGUAUGAAUAUUAUUUACCUAUUCGCCUUUACAUCGUUGUACGUGCAGAUUCCCGGACUUUAUGGAAAUAACGGAAUUCUGCCAGCUCGCACACAGCUGCUGGCCAAAGAUGGAACCACCCUUGCUGCCAAGAUGCACACCAAACCAACAUAUGUGGCUGGCACCCUACAUAGGACUCGACACUGAGUACAUGAUGGAUGUGCUUUCUCUUGUUGGCAUAUUUUGUCUUUCACUGGGUUCAUUUCACAAAAGUUUUGCUGUAAACCAAUAUUUGCGGCUCUAUGGUCUCUUUAUUACUCAUUGUACCAAGUUGGGCAGACAUUCAUGUGGUUUCAAUGG